rnacentral:rRNA from 1 species
CACUUCUAAGGAAGGCAGCAGGCGCGCAAAUUACCCAAUCCUGACUCAGGGAGGUAGUGACAAGAAAUAACAAUAAACCGGCAUCAGCCGGUUUAAUUGGAAUGAGUACAAUUUAAACAUCUUAACGAGGAACAAUUGGAGGGCAAGUCUGGUGCCAGCAGCCGCGGUAAUUCCAGCUCCAAUAGCGUAUACUAAAGUUGUUGCAGUUAAAAAGCUCGUAGUUGGAUUUCUGCGGGAGCGGGGCGGCACACCCACUAUGUGGGUUGUAGCUAGCACUUCUCCUGCAUCCUGCCGCGAACCGUGCUACCAUUAGUUUGGUGGCGCCGGGGAUCGGCUCGUUUACUUUGAGAAAAAUAGAGUGUUCAAAGCAGGCCACACGCCUUGAAUAAGUUAGCAUGGAAUAAUGAUUAAGGACUUCGGUUCUAUUUUGUUGGUGUUCGGGACUGAAGUAAUGAUUGAUAGGGACAGUUGGGGCGGUCUGUAUUCCAAAGCGAGAGGUGAAAUUCUUAGACCUUCGGAAGACAAACAGCUGCGAAAGCGUUCCGCAAGGAUGUUCCCUUUGAUCAAGAACGAAAGUUGGGGGAUCGAAGACGAUCAGAUACCGUCGUAGUCUCAACUAUAAACUAUACCAGCUAGGGAUCGGCCAACGUUAUUUCAUACCGACUUGGUCGGCACCUUAUGAGAAAUCAAAGCAUCUGGGUUCCGGGGGGAGUAUGGUCGCAAGGCUGAAACUUAAAGGAAUUGACGGAAGGGCACCACCAGCCGUGGAGCCUGUGGCUUAAUUUGACUCAACACGGGAAAACUUACCAGGUCCAGACAUAGUAAGGAUUGACAGAUUGAUAGCUCUUUCUUGAUUCUGUGGGUGGUGGUGCAUGGCCGUUCUUAGUUGGUGGAGUGAUUUGUCUGGUUAAUUCCGUUAACGAACGAGACCCCAGCCUGCUAAAUAGCGCGCGUGAGCUUUGCUCGCGGCGAGCUUCUUAGAGGGACUAUGAUGCGCGAUAGCACAUGGAAGUUUGGGACAAUAACAGGUCUGUGAUGCCCUUAGAUGUUCUGGGCCGCACACGGGCUACACUGGCGCCUGCAACGAGCAUAUCAGCUGGCCCGAGAGGGUCUUGGCUAAUCUUUUGAACCGGCGCCGUGCUUGGGAUUGACCUUUGCAAUUGUUGGUCAUGCAACGAGGAAUGCCUUGUAAACGCGAGUCAUCAGCUCGCAUUGAAUACGUCCCUGCCCUUUGUACACACCGCCCGUCGCUCCUACCGAUGAAUGUUCCGAUGAAAUUUUCGGAGAGCACCUGUGAACUUGGCUCUGCCUUGCGAACGGGAGGCUCAAAGUCACUUAAAUCUGAACAUUUCG